rnacentral:rRNA from 1 species
UACGUAGAAGACUAGUGUUAUUCAUCUUUAAUAGGUUUAAAGGGUACCUAGACGGUAUAAUUAGUCUAAAAUAAGAUACGGUUAUACUAGAGUUAUAUAUGAGGAGGUGAGUAUUUAUGGAGUAGAGUUGAAAUUCUGUCAUCCCAUGAACGACUGGUAACGGCGAAAGCAACCUUUUAUCUAAUAACUGACGUUGAGGGACGAAGGCUCGGGUAACGAACAGG